CCAAACACACAAAGUAACUUUAAUAUCUUUUUUCUUAUCUCACAGAACUAAGCAAGAAUGUUACAAAAGCUCUUGCAGCGCUGCAAGGUAUUUAGCUUACAUCUGUCCCAGUUUUAAAAAUUUCGUAAAUGUGAGCCCGAACAGCUCAACAGUGGCAGUGAAAUGUCAAUCUUACACCUCCAGAAAGUAAUUCCUUACUUAGAAUCAUCUAUUGAGCAAGCAUUUGCCCCUAGUAAAUGUUACUUCAUAUUUGUUUGAAGUUCUUGAUACUCAUUACUUCAUAAUUGCUUGAUCAUGAAGUUCUUAAUAAAUGUCACUUAAUAUUUGUUUGGAGGACUUAGUAUUUGGGACUAAGCGCUUCGAGUACCAUUAGUAUGUAACAUGAUACUAAGUGACCUACUAAGCGGCCUAUUAAGAAUGUUACCAGGUAGCUAUGAAGGACAUAUGAAGUGGGUAGCACUAAGAUGGUAUUAAGAAGAUACUAAGUGGUGGCGUUCCACGAGUGUAGAUAAUAUAUGCACCACACAAUUAAUAUCCAAGCAUUUCGUAGAUCACCGGUGGGCAGUGCACGAAAACCCCUGCUACAGCUGUGAGCUCAGUCAACGAGCACUGUACAGAACAGUAUACAUAGAUAUAUAGUUCAGCAGGUAGAGGCCAGAGCUCUGGCCCUCGAGGGAAGCAAAACAUGUCAUCACNNNNNNNNNNNNNNNNNNNNNNNNNNNNNNNNNNNNNNNNNNNNNNNNNNUCCUCAUGACUGAUCAGUCCAACAGGGGGAACACCAUAAAAGACUGCGGACAUACAUUGUACCCAACACUUGUACAAGCAACAGUUUUAAUUGCCAGGAGAGACUUUAGAUAGAGCUGUAUGUGCAGUGCGUGGGUGUCAAAGGACAGGAUGUAUGGUUGAGGAUAGUGUGAGUAGCCAGAGCAUGCAGGGGCCCCUAACAUCACCCUACCUCUUUCCCUCCCUCCCUCCCUCCGAAAAACACGUGCUUACCAGCAAAAUCGCCAAGCUGCCGGCUGGUCGCCUGUUUAGCUAGCUAGCUCUCCCGAGUAGUGCCUGGUGCAUGUCCGGGUAGUAGAUGGUUGCACACAAUUGUGUGUGGCAGAGAAGUGAACCGGAACCGUCUCGUGCAUUCUCAUCAUCACCAUCAUCAUCACCUCGUGCAUUUUGGGGAAUUGGAUGCAUCCCUCCACCAGUUUACAUCCGUUCUGCACCCCGAUGAUCCAUACAUGAUCCAUGCGUCGGCAUGCAUGCAGACGCCGUCGCGCACCACGUCCAAAAGGGGAGUUGCGGGAAUCGAACCCACGACCUCUCGCACCCGAAGCGAGAAUCAUACCACUAGACCAAACUCCCUCUUGCUUGUCCUGAGGGGACCGAGUUGCCCGUUAUAUACACCUUGUACUGCAGCUGCUAUACACACACAUCCGUAUAGCACGCGUGUGUAUAGCGUACGCACGCGCGCAUACACACAGACACGCACACACACAGACACGCACACGCACACGUGUGCACACACACACAACACACACACACACACACAUUCACGUACGACAAUGCACGAGGCGCAAUCGCGCAACUAUUAUGAUGAUAAUUUCUUGAAGGGGAUCGGGAAAGAUAUGGCGCAUCAUAGAAACAUCCACUUACAAGCAAGGAGAUAGAUAGCGUCGACUCUAUCAAACAACCUCAUGGCUGUAAUUAUGAACCACAUGAAUGAUGAUGUACGUAAUAAUAUAUCAUUAACCAUAAACACACAUAUACAAUAAUAUGUAAUAACUCAUUAUAUACCUGGUAUAUAUACCUGGUAUCGCUACCCCGCUGUACUAUCUAGCUAGUUAUUAUUAUAUAUAUAGCACUCGUGGAACGGAACUAUCUUAAGAUGCCACUUAUCCGCUUAGUAAUUACUUAGGGGCAUCUUGGUACCAACUACAGUGAUACUUACCAACGGCGAUAAGAGCUUCGUAUGUACAUGUCGCAGCUCUACUAGCUAACUGCCAAACACACAAAGUAACUUUAAUAUCUUUUUUCUUAUCUCACAGAACUAAGCAAGAAUGUUACAAAAGCUCUUGCAGCGCUGCAAGGUAUUUAGCUUACAUCUGUCCCAGAUUUAAAAUUUUCGUAAAUGUGAGCCCGAACAGCUCAACAGUGGCAGUGAAAUGUCAAUCUUACACCUCCAGAAAGUAAUUCCUUACUUAGAAUCAUCUAUUGAGCAAGCAUUUGCCCCUAGUAAAUGUUACUUCAUAUUUGUUUGAAGUUCUUGAUAUUCAUUACUUCAUAAUUGCUUGAUCAUGAAGUUCUUAAUAAAUGUCACUUAAUAUUUGUUUGGAGGGCUAGUAUUCGGGACUAAGCGCUUCGAGUACCAUUAGUAUGUAACAUGAUACUAAGUGACCUACUAAGCGGCCUAUUAAGAAUGUUACCAGGUAGCUAUGAAGGACAUAUGAAGUGGGUAGCACUAAGAUGGUAUUAAGAAGAUACUAAGUGGUGGCGUUCCAUGAGUGUAGAUAAUAUAUGCACCACACAAUUAAUAUCCAAGCAUUUCGUAGAUCACCGGUGGGCAGUGCACGAAAACCCCUGCUACAGCUGUGAGCUCAGUCAACGAGCACUGUACAGAACAGUAUACAUAGAUAUAUAGUUCAGCAGGUAGAGGCCAGAGCUCUGGCCCUCGAGGGAAGCAAAACAUGUCAUCAGGUCAUGACCUGUUCCCCAGUUUCCAUGCACUGAUGAUCAUCAGUGCACGGAAACCCCAAUGAGACCAAUAAUAACAAGCACUAUAACCGAGGUAAAGAUAGCCCAGCAAAUAGAGGCUGGCAGGGGGCCUGUUUGUAGAGGCUGGCAGGGGGCACCGGGAAAG
rnacentral:lncRNA from 1 species